rnacentral:rRNA from 1 species
UACAGAGGGGGCAAGCGUUGUUCGGAAUUACUGGGCGUAAAGGGCGCGUAGGCGGGAUGGCAAGUCGGUCGUGAAAUCCCUCGGCUCAACUGAGGAGCGUCGAUCGAAACUGCCGUUCUUGAGGGUUGCAGAGGAGACUGGAAUUCCCGGUGUAGCGGUGAAAUGUGUAGAGAUCGGGAGGAACACCGGUGGCGAAGGCGGGAUCCUGGGCCAGUACUGACGCUGAGGAGCGAAAGCGUGGGGAGCAAACAGG